GACGAACCGUGCGAACGUUGUUCGGAAUUACUGGGUGUAAAGGGUUCGUAGGCGGUGCGGCAAGUUGGGAGUGAAAUCUCUGGGCUUAACCCAGAGGCUGCUUCCAAAACUGCUGUGCUUGAGUGUGGGAGAGGCGCGUGGAAUUGCAGGUGUAGCGGUGAAAUGCGUAGAUAUCUGCAGGAACACCCGUGGCGAAAGCGGCGCGCUGGACCACUACUGACGCUGAGGAACGAAAGCUAGGGGAGCAAACAGG
rnacentral:rRNA from 1 species